GGCUUUAUAUUAUAAAAAGUAUAUUAAAUUGCAAAUUUAAAGAUGUGUAAUAAUACUCUGAAGCU
rnacentral:tRNA from 1 species